GUGGGUUGGGCGGAUCGCUGCAUGUGAGGGGCGGGGCGAGGAGCAUCCCGGUCUACAGCGAGAGCAAGGCGGGGCAAGGUGCAGGGAGGUGUUUAAGACGAUGAGAUGGCUGGAUGGCAUCACUGACUCGAUGGACCCUCCUGGAAAUUUUGAGGAUUUGGGUCACUUUGCGCUCCCCCUCUGGAUGCGAAGAAAACAUGCACUGGGCGCAGUGGAGAAGAGAAAGCUGGCGGGUUCCGCGGACCAGAGGCAUGGCUGUGGCGGGGCUCCAGCCGCCAUGGCCGCAGAGGCGGCCGGCCUUCCCAGCUGGAAGGCCAAACUCCACAUGGCUCAGUUCCAGAAACACAAGGUUAAAACCUACAGUCUGAUACUGGAGGACUAAGAUUUUACCACGUAUUGUGAGUGUUAAUACCUGAUGUCCACGUGUAGCUUCUUUAUUCUGUUUGACAGAGAGCAGACAGCACAUCCAGAUGGGCCCUAAGCAAACUUCCUGCCCAACAGCACUGAGACCCCAUCUCCAA